GUUCUUGCCUGGAGAAUCCCAGGUACAGAGCAGCCUUGUGGGCUGCCGUCUAUGGGGUCACACAGAGUUGGACAUGACUGAAGCGACUUGGCAGCAGCAGCAGCAUCUGUCCAGCACUGGUCUUGUGGGUUCGGAGGAGGCGGCUCCGGAACCUCCAUAGACUCAAGGGAGCUCCGUGCUGUUGAAGAGUUGGAGAUGGUGGAAAUCUAGGAUAGGUGUUGUGAAGAACAAGAGCCAAGUUUGAUGAGGCCAUCAGGGACCAGCAACAGAAACAUGAGGUCAGUCCAGCCUGGGGCAGUUUCUUUCCAAGAGAAGAUGGAGGAAGGACAGCUAAGUGACUGGAAAUUUGACUUGCCUUCAUGUCAAGAGAUACCUACACCUUUUGGAAACAACAAACCCUUUGUGGUACCUCAGUGGGAUCAUCAGUGGGGCAUGGCCCUCUCCUGGAUGACGUUCUCAUGCUGCUUUGCAAAGAGAAUGUAUAACAGGAUUUGUACAGGUAAGAAAAUUUGAAAUAUGUUUACUAUUUUUAAGAAUAUUCUUUAAAGAGCUACAUGUUGCCGGGGAGAAAAUAUAUGGAACUGUAAAUAUCAUUGGGUUACUCUACAUAUAUCUUUUGGGAUUUUAAUACCACAGCCUCACAAAUUCCUGUAGAAUUGCAAUUUGUGGGGGUGAAUUUUGGUGGGACGGUGACUAUGUAUCUCAUACAAAGACCAGAAUAGACUGUUAUGAUUUUCUACUUUCCAAAUAUACAAAGCUGCAAUAUGGGGAAACACUUAAAUGGGAUCUUGAAGCAAAUCCAGAAACAGGCCGCUGUGCCUAGACAUUGGCAUGGAUGGUGCUGUGGGGUGUACUUUUGUGCUGAGUAAGAACAGGUUGAAGGUUACAAAGUCUAAGCUCCUUGUUAGGUCACUUUGC
ensembl:lncRNA